GGUUAAGUGACUAAGCGUACACGGUGGAUGCCUAGGCAGUCAGAGGCGAUGAAGGGCGUGCUAAUCUGCGAAAAGCGUCGGUAAGGUGAUAUGAACCGUUACAACCGGCGAUACCCGAAUGGGGAAACCCAGUGUGUUUCGACACACUAUCAUGUCAUGAAUACAUAGUGGCAUGAGGCGAACCGGGGGAACUGAAACAUCUAAGUACCCCGAGGAAAAGAAAUCAACCGAGAUUCCCCCAGUAGCGGCGAGCGAACGGGGAGGAGCCCAGAACCUGAAUCGGCUUGUGUGUUAGUGGAAGCGUCUGGAAAGUCGCGCAGUAAAGGGUGAUAGCCCCGUACACUAAAAUGCACAGGUCGUGAGUUCGAUGAGUAGGGCGGGACACGUGACAUCCUGUCUGAAUAUGGGGGGACCAUCCUCCAAGGCUAAAUACUCCUGACUGACCGAUAGUGAACCAGUACCGUGAGGGAAAGGCGAAAAGAACCCCGGCGAGGGGAGUGAAAUAGAACCUGAAACCGUGUACGUACAAGCAGUGGGAGCACCUUCGUGGUGUGACUGCGUACCUUUUGUAUAAUGGGUCAGCGACUUAUAUUUUGUAGCAAGGUUAACCGUAUAGGGGAGCCGUAGGGAAACCGAGUCUUAACUGGGCGAAUAGUUGCAAGGUAUAGACCCGAAACCCGGUGAUCUAGCCAUGGGCAGGUUGAAGGUUGGGUAACACUAACUGGAGGACCGAACCGACUAAUGUUGAAAAAUUAGCGGAUGACUUGUGGCUGGGGGUGAAAGGCCAAUCAAACCGGGAGAUAGCUGGUUCUCCCCGAAAGCUAUUUAGGUAGCGCCUCGUGAACUCAUCUUCGGGGGUAGAGCACUGUUUCGGCUAGGGGGCCAUCCCGGCUUACCAAACCGAUGCAAACUCCGAAUACCGAAGAAUGUUAUCACGGGAGACACACGGCGGGUGCUAACGUCCGUCGUGAAGAGGGAAACAACCCAGACCGCCAGCUAAGGUCCCAAAGUCAUGGUUAAGUGGGAAACGAUGUGGGAAGGCAUAGACAGCCAGGAUGUUGGCUUAGAAGCAGCCAUCAUUUAAAGAAAGCGUAAUAGCUCACUGGUCGAGUCGGCCUGCGCGGAAGAUGUAACGGGGCUAAACCAUGCACCGAAGCUGCGGCAGCGACGCUUAGGCGUUGUUGGGUAGGGGAGCGUUCUGUAAGCCGUUGAAGGUGGCCUGUGAGGGUUGCUGGAGGUAUCAGAAGUGCGAAUGCUGACAUAAGUAACGAUAAAGCGGGUGAAAAGCCCGCUCGCCGGAAGACCAAGGGUUCCUGUCCAACGUUAAUCGGGGCAGGGUGAGUCGACCCCUAAGGCGAGGCUGAAAAGCGUAGUCGAUGGGAAACAGGUUAAUAUUCCUGUACUUGGUGUUACUGCGAAGGGGGGACGGAGAAGGCUAGGCUAGCCGGGCGACGGUUGUCCCGGUUUAAGCGUGUAGGGGGUGUGACCUGGUAAAUCCGGUUGCAUAUCAACCCUGAGGCGUGAUGACGAUGCACUACGGUGCAGAAGUAGUUGAUGCCCUGCUUCCAGGAAAAGCCUCUAAGCUCUAGGUAACAUUGAAUCGUACCCCAAACCGACACAGGUGGUCAGGUAGAGAAUACCAAGGCGCUUGAGAGAACUCGGGUGAAGGAACUAGGCAAAAUGGUGCCGUAACUUCGGGAGAAGGCACGCUGGCAUGUAGGUGAAGUCCCUUGCGGAUGGAGCUGAAGCCAGUCGAAGAUACCAGCUGGCUGCAACUGUUUAAUAAAAACACAGCACUGUGCAAACACGAAAGUGGACGUAUACGGUGUGACGCCUGCCCGGUGCUGGAAGGUUAAUUGAUGGGGUCAGCCGCAAGGCGAAGCUCUUGAUCGAAGCCCCAGUAAACGGCGGCCGUAACUAUAACGGUCCUAAGGUAGCGAAAUUCCUUGUCGGGUAAGUUCCGACCUGCACGAAUGGCGUAAUGAUGGCCAGGCUGUCUCCACCCGAGACUCAGUGAAAUUGAACUCGCUGUGAAGAUGCAGUGUACCCGCGGCAAGACGGAAAGACCCCGUGAACCUUUACUAUAGCUUGACACUGAACAUUGAGCCUUGAUGUGUAGGAUAGGUGGGAGGCUUUGAAGCGUGGACGCCAGUCUGCGUGGAGCCAUCCUUGAAAUACCACCCUUUAAUGUUUGAUGUUCUAACUCGGCCCCAUAAUCUGGGGUGAGGACAGUGUCUGGUGGGUAGUUUGACUGGGGCGGUCUCCUCCCAAAGAGUAACGGAGGAGCACGAAGGUUAGCUAAUCACGGUCGGACAUCGUGAGGUUAGUGCAAAGGCAUAAGCUAGCUUGACUGCGAGAGUGACGGCUCGAGCAGGUACGAAAGUAGGUCUUAGUGAUCCGGUGGUUCUGAAUGGAAGGGCCAUCGCUCAACGGAUAAAAGGUACUCCGGGGAUAACAGGCUGAUACCGCCCAAGAGUUCAUAUCGACGGCGGUGUUUGGCACCUCGAUGUCGGCUCAUCACAUCCUGGGGCUGAAGUAGGUCCCAAGGGUAUGGCUGUUCGCCAUUUAAAGUGGUACGCGAGCUGGGUUUAGAACGUCGUGAGACAGUUCGGUCCCUAUCUGCCGUGGGCGUUGGAAGAUUGAGAGGGGUUGCUCCUAGUACGAGAGGACCGGAGUGAACGCACCACUGGUGUUCGGGUUGUCAUGCCAAUGGCAUUGCCCGGUAGCUAAGUGCGGAAAAGAUAAGCGCUGAAAGCAUCUAAGCGCGAAACUUGCCUCAAGAUGAGUCUUCCCUGGGCCUUUAAGGCCCCUGAAGGAACGUUUAAGACUAAGACGUUGAUAGGCUGGGUGUGUAAGUGCAGCGAUGCAUUGAGCUAACCAGUACUAAUGAUCCGUGAGGCUUAACCUU
rnacentral:rRNA from 1 species